UGGUGCCAAAAAUACCAGAAGCGAUGUCCUAUAUACGGCCUUGACCAGAAGUGUUGCAUGCCCUGGAUGCAGAAAAACAAGAUUGAGAUGAGUGGAUCAAGAUGUAUCUUUCGUGCAGAUGUAUCAAGAUCCUUUCACUUAAGAUCCAUGCAGGCGCAAGCUUUGGAUGAACUUCUGCUUCUGCGGUCGGCAUUCUUACAGGAGAACCCAAGAUUCAUUGUACCUACCUGUAUGCAUUUCAAAACUGAAUAAUUGAUAGCAACAAGUAAAUAUUUGAAGUUGCAGCCAAAUGCUGUGCCUUCUCUGCUGCAAGAGCUACAUGUCACCAUUGAAGCAAGGACCAGCUCGACUCCUGCAGUAGGAGUCCAGCCUCGUCCAGUCGUCGCCGCUCGCCAAGACCAGCCGGACUCCUGCAAUAGGGGUCCAGGCUGACCCGUUCGUCCAGUAACCGCCGCUCGUCAGCACCAGCUGGGCUCCUGUAGUAGGGGUCCAGCCUCGUCCAGUCGCCGCCGCUCGCCAAGACCAGCUGGGCUCCUGUAGUAUGGGGCUAGGAUGGCCCGUUCAUCAACCGGUCCUGAAGUCACAUCGCCGUCAGCCAGCCGAACUCAGUACAUAAGUCACCAACCCUGAAUGUUGCCAGCCAAAGUCGGCAGUUUCCUUCGGACAGUCAUCUCACCAGUGUUGUACAGUGUACGAGGUUAGUGACGCAGUUAAAUGCGUCAAUUAAAUGCGAGGACGUGCGCUUGUAUGCAGCGUUUUGUCAUGUUGAGCUGCAUGGGUGUCGAUUUUCACCGAAUUGAGGGUGCCCACUGCCCGGGCGCAGCAAAUCCGCCGCUGCCUUAGCGGUGACCUUGACCCGCACCGUCUGUUGGGGCUCCAAAGCCAAGCCAGCCGAGCCGGCGGUGAAUCUAAAGAGCUUGAGCACCCCCAACCCGGCGGAAAUUGACACCUAUGUUGAGCUGUAUGGAUGCGUUUUAGCCUUCCGCCGUGGUGGUAAAUAGCAGCCUACAUGCAGAAUUAGGCAGGCUUAUUAGCGGACUCAUUAUUGGAUUCAUUGUGUCACGUUUGUCGGCACGUGUAAGAUGUGCUUAACUGCCAUUAGCUCUCGGCCUGGCGACUUCUGGGGACCACGUAAUGGGGAU